rnacentral:rRNA from 1 species
GUGCCAGCAGCCGCGGUAAUACGGAGGAGGCGAGCGUUGUUCGGAAUCACUGGGCUUAAAGGGCGUGUAGGCGGGGUGACAGGUGCCUUGUGAAAGCCCUCGGCUCAACCGAGGAAUUGCUGGGCAAACCGACACUCUUGAGGCAGGUAGAGGUAACCGGAACGUUAGGUGGAGCGGUGAAAUGCGUAGAGAUCUAACGGAACGCCGGUGGCGAAAGCGGGUUACUGGGCCUGCUCUGACGCUGAGACGCGAAAGCGUGGGUAGCAAACAGGAUUAGAAACCCGCGUAGUCC